rnacentral:lncRNA from 9 species
GGGAGAGCAGAUCUCAGGGGAAAACAGAGGAGGCCAGUCAGAAAGGGAAAAGCGUGGCAGAUGUGCAGAAAGGAGCAGCGAGCAGGGGUCGACGAGGGACUAGAAAUAGAAGGGAGGAUCCUAGAUGGGCAUCUUAUAAUCCUCUAGGACAGAAGAAAAGACCCUCCUCUCCGAUCCUUCUCCAUAUUAGACACAGUCCUCUUAAAUGUCACAAGAAUGUGUAUGCCAGAAAUACUUUUCCAAGAGCUGAACUUGAACCCCAAUUCCACAUACUCAGAGCCUGCUGGCAUCCUCCGCUGUCAUCCUCACUGAUCAGUGCCUCAGGAGACAGCAAGAACCUGAGACUGUUUGGAUUAUGUAGAGAACUGGGUUGGGCAAUUUGGAAGAUAACAAGAUCUCACCAGGGCAGAAAUCUUGGAAACAGAAACGCUGAAGAGAAGAGAAUUCUGGACAAGGACUCGGCUCUCAUCUGUGGGACAAUUCACAGUGAACUUCCUUUCUGGCUGACUUACGCACCAUUCAUGGAUCCCAAGUUAGUGCGAGCUUCUUAUCCUUCAACCCAGCCUGUAAAAAUGAGAACAUCUGGGAAUUCCAAGGCAGAGUGGUAGGGGAAACGAUUCCAUGGGCCCUCUCCCUCCCUCAACCUCGUAACCUUUUAUUGCUUCACAGCUCAUUGUCUCACUCUUUCCCCCACCUCCCACCACCACUCUUUUGUGCACGCAGGUCCUAUGGGAAAGUUCAUGUGGGGAGAGGGUUCAUGUUCUACUGCAAUGGCUGCUGGAUGGUGAUAGCCUCAAGCAAAUGCCAGGCUGAGAAGAUCAACCCCCAUCCCCUUGGUCCCUUCUCUGGUUCAGUGUGGAUCGAUUUCAAGGCCUGCAAUAGCUAGGGCUUGGGCUCUGUUCUUGAUUUCUGCUUCUCAUCUAUUGUUCACUCCCUGGAACAAUCCGGGGAUGGGAGCCAGGUAGCAACAAUGAAGCAAGUCUUUGAGACCAAAAGAUAAUUGAAAAAUCCCAGGAAGUCUGUUCCCUUUGGCCCCAAGUUCACAUAUGGUCAGCACAUUACAGACCUUGUCCAAAGACUGGCUUAGGACACAGGGUGGGGGCAAUUUCUGUCAUUAACUCAGUCUACCUUCCCCCAAUAAUCAGGCAGUCAGGGCUCUGGGCACUUCUGGUCUGUUUCAGGUUUGACCAUGUCACUGGUUUUAACCCAACCCGAUGUCCCUUCUAGAAUGGUCCACACUCCAGCAGAUAAAGUAGCUGUCUUCAUGAGUGAUUGCUUCCAGACCCAAUGAAGAGAAACUCAUGUGUUUGAAAUACUUGCCAUUCUUCUCCAUUUCACCAUAAAGUAGCCAAUUUAAUUUUGCACAAUACUGUUUGAUAACAACCAUGUGUGUGUCUUCUGUAUUUAUAUACUCAGGAAAGGACCUACUUGGUCAGUGUGAGAUAAUUUCACAAGAAAAAUGGAACCAGAUGUGACUCCUUUUUAUUUGGCUCUUCGAACUCAAGCAAUCUAAUUCCCAGGGUCAGUCUUCACUUGGGUUUUCGGUUACCUUGCAGAAGAGGCUUCCUUUACGCCACGGUGUUUGCUUUUCUGAGGUACCUGACAAGCAGAGUGAACAAAAGAUUUUAAGGCGUUGGUUCUCAGCUCAACACUUUCCAACAUUUCCAGGCAGGAGAUUCAAUGGGAUGGAAGUUUCUUCUUUUGGAAUAGAACAAAUCUGUCCAGUGGUAGGCUUAUCCACUUCAAUUAAACCAUUCUUCCAGCGACCCAGAAUAUACAAGCACUUUGGUUCUAAAACCCAAGGUCAUCUAGUGCUAACAUGACUCACUCGAAACUCCAAAGCAAAGGAAUUAGGCAGUGCUGACACUAGAGAAGGGCAGACUUCUCUCUCUUUUCAUCUUAUUUCCUCUUUUUCUUUUAUCUCCAUCCCAACUUGUGCCAGUAAGCCUGCCAUGUACAGUGGUACAGUUUUGUGCACUGUUCAAAAGUCCUCAGCCAGGAGAGUGAGUGGAAGCUGAAAAUCAGAAUUCAGUCCAUGCUAUGCUGGUGAAGCCAUGAACCCCAGCAGAGGGCACAUCUACCCAGAGGAAAAGACGCUUUAAAAAACAACAACACGAAAAAGGACAAAUUGCACACAAGUUGGUAUCUUUGGGGCUGCAUCUGCCCAGAAGUGUUCAUUUUUUUAAGAAAGCUGUAUGUACUAACCUUGCCCCUUGUACACUGGUGACGGCCUGAAAGAUGAAUAUGCAAAUGCAUGAGUAC